AAGGUUUCCGUAGGUGAACCUGCGGAAGGAUCAUUAUUGAAUUAUGUUUUCUAGAUGGGUUGUAGCUGGCUCCUUGGAGCAUGUGCACGCCUGUCUGGACUUCAUUUUCAUCCACCUGUGCACCUUUUGUAGUCUUUGUUGGGUAUGGAGGAAGUGGUCAGACUAUCAGCUCUUGCUGGAGAUGAGGACUUGUGGUGUGAAAGCAGUGCUGUCUUCUACAUGGCCAUGGAAUCUGUUUCCUGUCAGAGUCUAUGUAGUUCAUUAUACCCUAUAAACUGUUAUUGAAUGUUUUGACAUGGGCUUCUAUUGUAUGCCUAUGAAAAUUGUAAUACAACUUUCAGCAACGGAUCUCUUGGCUCUCGCAUCGAUGAAGAACGCAGCGAAAUGCGAUAAGUAAUGUGAAUUGCAGAAUUCAGUGAAUCAUCGAAUCUUUGAACGCAUCUUGCGCUCCUUGGUAUUCCGAGGAGCAUGCCUGUUUGAGUGUCAUUAAAUUCUCAACUUUCCGAUACUUUGUUGUAAAGGAGAGCUUGGAUAGUGGAGGCUUGCUGGCCACUUGCUGGGGUCGGCUCCUCUGAAAUGCAUUAGCGGAACUGUUUGUGAUCUGCCACAAGUGUGAUAAAUUAUCUACACUAGCGAGGGGAUUGCUCUCUGUGUUCAGCUUCUAAUCGUCUUCAGUGACAACUUCUUGAGUACUUGACCUCAAAUCAGGUAGGACUACCCGCUGAACUUAAGCAUAUCAAUAAGCGGAGGAAAAGAAACUAACAAGGAUUCCCCUAGUAACUGCGA
rnacentral:rRNA from 1 species